AGAUGGAGCGGACCCCGGGGGCCGGCGCCACGGCCAAGAAAGACUCAAAGAGCGAGUGGAAAACCACCUUCACAUCCAGCAAGACCUCCUUCAGCAAAGGCAAGGUUUCGCUCCUGAGGACCAAGUACGUCAUCUCCUGGGGCAAAUCCUCCAUCUCCUGGAGCAGAUGCACGCUGGUUUUGGGGAAGAGCGGCGUGGCGUUGGGGACCACUUCCAUCACGCGCGGGGAGACCACCAGCUCCAUCACCACGCUGACCCUCACCCACGGGACUAAGAGCGUGUCGGUGGUCAGGACCACCCUCAGGAGGGGCGAGGAGACUCACAGCAACGUCUACUGGAAUUUCCACACAUGAAUCCUGUACACAGCCACUAAAAAUAAACUCUGCUCUGUGGAAGCAGCAGCAGAGGAUGAAGCAGCAGAGCCGACCGACCAGGUUGACGGUCUGAGGAGACGUCCAAGUGUGGAAAGAACAAAACAAAAAGGGAGAGAGAGAGAGAGAGAGAGAGAGAGAGAGAGAGAGAGAGAGAGAGAGAGAGAGAGAGAAUUAAUGGCUGAUGAAUAAUUCAGGGAGAAUACUUUGGGUGGAAGCCAGAUUGAAAGUGUAACUUCAGUGGGUGUGUCUCCCAGACAUCCUUCCAUCUUCCCCCUGGUCCCCCCGAGCGUCUUGGCAAGUGUUUGGUGGUCAGAGGACGUGUGGAGGGAUCAAACGUACGAGAAUCUGUCUUUGGAGGCGGAGGAAUGAGGAACUAUUCAAAUUCCUGUUAAUAUGUGGCAGAAGGUGGACGCCAUCUCAAUAAGAUGGCACCAAAUACUUAACAUAUCCAUCACAACAAUUGCUUGCCACUAUUUGGAAAGUGGUUUCAGCUCCAGUACUCAUGGUGGCGCUCAUCCCAAAGGAGCAACUGUUCACAGUAAAGAAGAGCCACGCAUCACCACCAUGCUGGUACACAGGGUUCCUCUGGAAUUGAACUUCUGCAAAUUCUUCUCCAAUAUUUUUCUAUAUUUGACAGUUUUUUUUCCAACCUCCAGCAUCUCCUCUCCUCGGACUCGUGAGGUCUCACUGCUCCUUUUUGUUUUCUAGGUCCACGCUGACGCAGCUGCUUCCCCUGGCGGCAAACACCAUGACAGAAAAUAAACAAAACCAGAAACAAAAUGCCCAAAAAUCAAUCGUGCCUCUGUUCAGUGAGAUGGAGCACAGACGAAAAGUUGCAACAACAACCACCGCCGCCCGAAGACACAACUUGUUGCUAGCGGCAACAGCAGAGCCCGGUGGAUUAGCAGUGACUGUGCAUGAUCGAUAAGAAUACAUUGGAUGUUGUCACGCUGCCUGCUAUUCUUCUUCUUCUUCCUCCUUGCAAGGCUUCUCUGCUUCCUGGUUUUUCGUGAUGUCAGCACACAACAUCUUCAUCACGGCUUUUGAAGCCCUGCGUUAUAUUCAAACAGGUCAAAUCCACCAGAGACGACAAGAGUGGAUCCCCGCAUAUUUGCAAUACAGCACUCGUGACCAUGCAAAUUUGCAAAUUUUUCAUCAAAACUUUGUUUUAUUUGUGGGCAAACCCACCAUUUUGUGCUUAUAAUCUCCAUAAUUAGGCCGUUUAUUGGUAGAAACCCAAAUGCCUGCCCUCACUCACGGUGCAACCAAACAUAACACGCGGAACUGCAGCACACGGACGAUGCAGGUAUCAAAAUAGAUGCUUACACACUAGAAUACGUACAUGCAAAACCGUACUCUUUGAUACUACUUCAUAACCCACAAGGCACGCUGAAAAGCACAUGCACAAACUUCCACAACAGGAAGUUACCUGGCAUGCCUGGCGGAUUAUAGAUUAGCAUAAAAGAGUAUUGUUUUGCACGUCUAUUAGUGUGUGAGCGUUUAGUUUGAUACCCGCAUAGUGCGUGUGCUGCUUGUGUUACAUUUUGGUUGCACCGUGAGUGACGUUUUGUGUCAAGAAGAUUUGUGUCAUGUGAGCGUCUGUGCAAAAGCCUGGCUUGAUAAUUCACUGCAAAUAAGACAGCAUUUCCUCAGUCAAAUUCAGGUCAUGUAAAGUAAAGUAAUUAGAGUGUCAAAAAUAGAGAUUUUUAUCAAUGUCUACAUUACUCGGGUGGUCUGAGAACGCAACCCCCGCAAUAACAGGGAUCAACUGGACUUACGAGACCUCCACCGAGGCCAAGAAUUACAUAUUUGGAUUAGUACCGCCUCUUCGAUAAACCAUAAUUAAGAUUUCAGCAUGAUUUAGAGGCAAAUUGAGGAAAAUGUAAUUGAAAUGGUGAACAAAAGUGUCUUUACCAUCAUGUUUGUGGCCCGCAGCCCCACACAAACCUUCCCCAAAUUCUGUCAAGUAAUAUUUACAUAACCUCUGUAGCUAACAACAAAAAACCCAAAGUUGGAACGAGACAAAAAGUGUCCCACAAAAACGGUUGGUGAUGUUAUGUUAAUAGAGAUGCAUGAUAAAACGAGAAAGCAGAUAUUGCAUGUGUUAGGUUGAAAAAUAAUGACAGUGCCUGGUGCAUUAACCCACACCACUAACGUCCGCUAAGCUAGCACGGCAUCUUGAGGCCUGAGGAAGUAGGCCACAUCCCCGAGUCCUGCACCAUCAAGACGACAGCUGAUUCGGGACCCUCGCCACCGCCGCCGGCCACUACUUGAAUCACCUCUGACCUGGAUGGCGCCGACGACGCCCUCCCUCUGAAACCUCACGACUGUCGCUCAUUAGAAGGUGGAAAGGAAAAGUGCAGUAAUCAAUACUGAUGGAAACGUGUGCAUGCUUUGUUUGUGUCUCGUCCUCGUGUACUUUCCGUCAUUAAAACAGAGUUAAAAACCCCUCUUAGGUCAGUCGCUCGUCUUUUUCUGUCUGUGCCGCUAAUCUCUGUCAUUUUGUGAGAAGUUUCUUUUCUUUUUGCACCCUUUGACUUUUUGUGUGCCUCGCUGUUUGUAGCGCUAAAAUAAAGAAGGAACGUUGGAUGUACUGGAAUAAAAGCUCUUGAUGGUGUGUCUA